GGAAGAGAUGAAGGCUCUGCAGCCCCCGCCGCCCGAUUUACGCUUGAGAAAGCGAAGGCGAGAGAGGUCGUCCAGCCCCUGGGGGCCCAGCCCUAGAGAGCGGGGCGCGGGCUGCGGGGCCCGGCGGCCUGGACGGCGGAGCGUUGAAAGCUCCCCCAGGGAUAGGAAGUGCAGCCGAAAUCAACGACUGAGGGUCUGAGCACCUCCCUCAUGACCUCCCUCAUGCAGACAGAGCCCUGGCUCCCAUGUUCACCAUGCUGAGAAAGACCUGCGGGGGACAGCAGGAGGACAGCCGGGGAAUGGGCCCGCACUUGCCCAGAGGCCCUGAUGGUAUCGUCUUGGGAGUGGAGGAACCUGAGGGAAAAGCCCAGGGGCGAGUCAGGGGAGAGCUCUGCCCUGGUGCCCUUGCACGUAUCCACAUGGGCCACAGCUGCACCCGGCUCUCAGCAGAGGGCAUCGCCAUGCUCCUGGGCACAGCCGGGCCCUCUCGCCUCCCUGCAGCUCCUGAUGCCUACCAGGCUCCGCUGAGGUCACCUUGGGCACUUAGCGUGGCUGCAGCUCUUUGCAGCCCCGUGUCCUGUCAUCCAUGUGGCCGUCAUGUGGUCACUUUUGGGCAUUGCCCUGCGCAAGGUCCAUGGGGACUGGGCACCUUUGGCCAUUCUUUCUUUGGUUGUCUGUGCAAGUAAUAAACUAAAUCUGAAAA
rnacentral:lncRNA from 1 species